rnacentral:rRNA from 1 species
UACGUAGGGGGCAAGCGUUGUCCGGAAUCAUUGGGCGUAAAGCGCGUGUAGGCGGCCAGAAAAGUCCGCUGUGAAAACUCGAGGCUCAACCUCGAGACGUCGGCGGAAACCAUCUGGCUAGAGUCCGGAAGAGGAGAGUGGAAUUCCUGGUGUAGCGGUGAAAUGCGCAGAUAUCAGGAGGAACACCUAUAGCGAAGGCAGCUUGCUGGGACGUUGCUGACGCUAAGGCGCGAAAGCGUGGGGAGCAAACAGG